CUCCUCUUCUUCCUCGCCGAGUGUUUCAUCCUCAACGGCUAGCCACCGGAUUUCAGCUAGGAACCGGAGUUCGUGUCAACGAAUCAGGUCAGCUGAUGAGCAUAAGAUAUCUUGGAGGUUUCUUUCUGUAUGUUACUUCUGUGCCUAGCUUCUAGAUAUUAACUCGAGUAGUUCGAAUUGACAGUUGAAAACCUGGGGCAGACUAGAAUGUGCAGCUUUCGGCGACGCAUUCAAUUUCACUUUUCCAUCACAUCUGCUAUUGUUGGUUGUGCUUGUGUUUCCAUUGUCUACCACUAUAUCUUGCUUUGUAAAAUGAGGAAGAGCCUUCCAAAUUUUAUUCUCUCUCUCUCUCACUCUCUCUCUCUCUCUCUCUAUAUAUAUAUAUAUAUGCAUGAUUGUCUUUUUUUCUUUUUCUGAGUUUUUAGCUGAGACAGUUGAGUAAACAGUUGCUGAUAGUAUCACCUUACUAAGGAUAUUAUAUCCUAAUUUUCAUA